rnacentral:rRNA from 1 species
AUUGAACGCUGGCGGCAUGCCUUACACAUGCAAGUCGAACGGUAACAGGUUAAGCUGACGGGUGGCGAACGGGUGAGUAAUGUAUCGGAACGUGCCCAGUCGUGGGGGAUAACUGCUCGAAAGAGCAGCUAAUACCGCAUACGACCUGAGGGUGAAAGCGGGGGAUCGCAAGACCUCGCGCGAUUGGAGCGGCCGAUAUCAGAUUAGGUAGUUGGUGAGGUAAAGGCUCACCAAGCCGACGAUCUGUAGCGGGUCUGAGAGGACGACCAGCCACACUGGGACUGAGACACGGCCCAGACUCCUACGGGAGGCAGCAGUGGGGAAUUGUGGACAAUGGGCGCAAGCCUGAUCCAGCCAUGCCGCGUGCGGGAAGAAGGCCUUCGGGUUGUAAACCGCUUUUGUCAGGGAAGAAAAGGUUCUGGCUAAUACCUGGGACUCAUGACGGUACCUGAAGAAUAAGCACCGGCUAACUACGUGCCAGCCGCCGCCGUAA